GACGAACGCUGGCGGCGUGCUUAACACAUGCAAGUCGAACGGAAAGGCUCCAGCUUGCUAGAGUACUCGAGUGGCGAACGGGUGAGUAACACGUGGGUAAUCUGCCCUGCACUCUGGGAUAAGCCUGGGAAACUGGGUCUAAUACUGGAUAUGACCUUUCUCCUUAUGGGGUUUGGUGGAAAGUUUUUCGGUGUAGGAUGAGCCCGCGGCCUAUCAGCUUGUUGGUGGGGUGAUGGCCUACCAAGGCGACGACGGGUAGCCGGCCUGAGAGGGUGAUCGGCCACAUUGGGACUGAGAUACGGCCCAGACUCCUACGGGAGGCAGCAGUGGGGAAUAUUGCGCAAUGGGCGGAAGCCUGAUGCAGCGACGCCGCGUGAGGGAUGACGGCCUUCGGGUUGUAAACCUCUUUCAGCAGGGACGAAGCGUAAGUGACGGUACCUGCAGAAGAAGCACCGGCUAACUAUGUG
rnacentral:rRNA from 1 species